GACGAACGCUGGCGGCGUGCCUAAUACAUGCAAGUCGAACGCAGUGGGGACGGGUGAGUAACACGUGGGUAACCUCCCAUCAGAGGGGAUAACACGUGGAAACAGGUGCUAAACCGAUAUUGAUGGAUGGACCCGCGGGGAUUUAGCUAGUUGGUGGCGGAACGGCUCACCAAGGCCACGAUGCAUAGCCGACCUAUGAGGGUAGUCGGCCACACUGGGCGUGAGCCACGGCCCAGAUCCCUACGGGGGGAAGGUGUAGGGAAUGUUCGGCAAUGUACGAAAGUCUGACCGAGCCACGCCGCGUGAGUGAAGAAGGUUGUGGGUUCGUAAAUCUCUGUUGUUAGAGAAGCGGUAUCUAACCAGAAGGCCACGGCUAACUACGUGCCAGCAGCGCGGUAAUUC
rnacentral:rRNA from 1 species